rnacentral:Y_RNA from 1 species
GGCUGCUCUGAGUGCAGUGCUGUUUGCAAUGAACUGAUCACAACCAGUUACAGUUUUCUUUGUUCCUUUUCCACUCUUCACUUGAGUAGCCUUUG